CUUGUAUCUGCGUUGACACAGAAGUGCCAAUUGUGUCUCUUUGAUGACAAGAUAAAAACGGUUUUCAAAACAGGGGAGAAGGCACAUGCAAAGCAGAGGCGGGGUCCCCUGGCUGCAGAGGUGGGAAGUUCCUCCAGCUGCAGAGGUGGGGUUCCCCUGGCUGCAGAGGUGGGGUCCCCUGGCUGCAGAGGCUCCUGGGGAGGUGGCCGCUGAGCCCUGGUCAGCAGAAGAUGAAGGGACAUCGCGACCCCCUGGCAAAAAAGUCUUGAACACCCUCCUCUUGGUGACCUAUUCACAAUGCACAGGGCACACCCGCACUCCCCAUGCCCACCCCCUGUUCUGUUUUUCUCCCUGUGUGUCCAUACUUUACUUUCUGUAUUGUCUGACCUCCCUCCAGCACCCAAGCUUGCCUGGGGCACACAUCUGUUGGGUUUUGCCCCUGCCUGUACCCCAGUGCCUGGACGAGAGAAGGCCUCAACUGGACUGGGUUUGCCUGUCUCUGGACUCUUCACCCGUGAACUCGGACAGCCUGGACUCCUCGUGUCUGGCUGAUUUUGCUCACUACGCUAUUUGGUUGUGGAUCUCUCAUUCUCGUUGCUGUUUUAGGCUCCGUUCUGCACCCAUACUGUGUUUAUCCGUUCCACAGUGCUGUGCCUUGUGGGGUCUUCCCAGAUUGGGGUUAGUACGGAUGUGCAGCCAAGAACGUGCCAGUCCUUGGGCACUGGGAUUUAGAGCCCUAAACUGGUUGCUCAGACAAAGGGUUGCACCAGUGCGGGUGGGGUGGAGGCCCUGCUCAGCUGAGGCACUGUUGUUUUUGUUUCUCUUCUGGCUAGAAGGGAUGUCCCUGCUGUCAGAGGACACCCAUUAUGGGACAUAAGGACACAGCAAAUGCAAGAGGAGCCACGUGCUCACACUGGGACCGCUCAAGUCCCAAACCAGGGUGAUUCCCCUCUGGCCGGCUGAAAGAGGACUACGCCCCACAGCACCGUUCAUGGACCACCUGCCCCCCAGCUCCCAUGGCUUCUUG
rnacentral:lncRNA from 1 species